GGAGAGAUGGCAGAGCGGACGAUUGCGUCGGUCUUGAAAACCGUUGUGGCCUCACGGUCACCGGGGGUUCGAAUCCCCCUCUCUCCGCCA
rnacentral:tRNA from 1 species